UACGUAGGGUCCGAGCGUUAAUCGGAAUUACUGGGCGUAAAGCGUGCGCAGGCGGUCUUGUAAGCCAGAUGUGAAAGCCCCGGGCUCAACCUGGGAACUGCAUUUGGGACUGCAAGGCUGGAGUACGGCAGAGGGAGGUGGAAUUCCACGUGUAGCAGUGAAAUGCGUAGAUAUUGGGAGGAACACCAGUGGCGAAGGCGGCUACCUGGACCGGUUCUGACGCUGAGGCGCGAAAGCGUGGGUAGCAAACAGG
rnacentral:rRNA from 1 species